AGAGAGCCCUCUACAGGGAUGUCAUGCAGGAGAACUAUGAGACGGUGACCUCACUGGGGUUUCCAGUUUCUAAACCUGAUGUGAUGUCGCAGCUGGAACAGGGGAAGAGCCGUGGGUCCCAGACCUCCAGGGCUCUGAGAAAGAAGUGCUUCCAAGAGCUGCCUUCGCAGGUGAUGGGAUGGUGAAUCAGAAUGAGGAGGAGAAACCCCAUCAGGAAGAUGCUGAGCAA